AAACAGUAACGAACGGCAUUGUAGAAAAGAGAGAGCCGUAAUGCAGAAGAGAAGUUGUGUAUUCUUUCGAUGUACAAAUGCAUUUUCAAUUUACUGUGAAACAUAUGAACAUGCACAGGGAACAAUACUACAUAUUUGUUUAAGGAGGAUAUUUUUCUCGUGUGAAUCGUUUACGAGGAAAUUCUGACAGCCACACUUCUGUCGACGAUCAGCCUUUGAUAAGCUACGAGUAAUAAAGGAGAAAAGAUGGACAUUAAAGUGUGUGAUUUAUGUGGAUGUUACUGAAGAAGCUCAAAACAGACUCUUGUUACCACAUGGCUUUUACCGGUACCUGUUGAUUCUUGUGGGUCAGCUCCUGAGAUUAACCUGUCACCUCUAUCCACAUGCAUAUUCCUUGUGUUCUACAGACUAUUUACCGGUAAUUCAAAUUAAAUCCGAUAAUGCAUGAACAAUAAUGGAACUUGGGCUCUACAUUAACUUUUUUUCCUACUUGUCCAUUCGGACAAGUGACCAAAACAUUUACUUGUCCGAACUUCAACUUCACUUGUCCGAAAAAUUUUCAAUAUUAAAGAUCAAAUAUUGUCAACUUGAGAACUACAGUACUCUAUUACUAAAAUAAAAUCAUUUAUUGAUUAAUACUCUAGCUAUAAUUAAUAACCUGACUUUUUAAAUGGAAACUUAAAGUGUCUUUCCUAUAAUUAUGUACAUGUAUUUGUUCUAUAUAACAUUAAACAUGAUUUGUCAGCUGUAGCUUUGUCAUGGCAAAUUACAAGACAUCUUAAAUUUAGCAUCAGGUUUAAAAAUACAUGUAACUGUUAUAUUGAUUUCUCAGCUGUUUUUUAAACUAAACAUGGAAUGCCAUCAUAGUCUAUCAAUGAUGAAUGAAACCUAAAAUAAGUUACAUUUCUUUCCAUAAUCCUUUAUCUUUGCUACCUUUUCUUCCUUUCUUUUUCUUAACAUAUGUGUUUGGUACUUUGUAAGAACUAAGAUCCACACCUUGAAAGUUGUUUGAAAUUAGUGAACUUCAACCCCGAUCAAGAGUAACUCAAUUGCAUUGCAAUUUGAUGUCGGGAUCGAAAUUCAAAAUAACUAAUCGAUAAACUUAUAACGAGACUACAGAUAAACUUAUCACAAAACUUUCUUUUCUUUUUUAAAUGUUGGAGACUUCUUACUAUAAAAAAUGCACUUGUCCAGUCGGACAAGUGGCCAGCAAUAUUCACUUGUCCGCAUAUUUUUUUAACUGGUACCGGACAAGCGUUAAUGUCGAGCCCUGGGAACUUGAAGAAAGCAUCCUACCAUGUUGUGGUUUGUGUUGAUAAGAAAUUAUGAAAACAAAAUUAAGGCUGUUUAAAGAAUUCAUAAUGCUGUGUAAAAUUUGUUUUCAAUAAAAGUAUACAA
rnacentral:sRNA from 1 species